CCUACGGGCGGCUGCAGUAGGGAAUCUUCCACAAUGGACGAAAGUCUGAUGGAGCAACGCCGCGUGAGUGAAGAAGGGUUUCGGCUCGUAAAGCUCUGUUGGUAGUGAAGAAAGAUAGAGGUAGUAACUGGCCUUUAUUUGACGGUAAUUACUUAGAAAGUCACGGCUAACUACGUGACAGCAGCCGCGGUAAUACGUAGGUGGCAAGCGUUGUCCGGAUUUAGUGGGCGUAAAGCGAGUGCAGGCGGUUCAAUAAGUCUGAUGUGAAAGCCCUCGGCUCAACCGGAGAAUUGCAUCAGAAACUGUAGAACUUGAGUGCAGAAGAGGAGAGUGGAACUCAAGGUGUAGCGGUGGAAUGCGUAGAUAUAUGGAAGAACACCAGUGGCGAAGGCGGCUCUCUGGUCUGCAACUGACGCUGAGGCUCGAAAGCAUGGGUAGCGAACAGGAUUAGAUACCCUUGUAGUC
rnacentral:rRNA from 1 species